GUAAGCAAAUCAUUCAAAGGGCAUAUCUCCUUUGGCAGGUAUAAUGGGUGGUUGCUAGUUUAUUUUACAUCUAUAUUAAAAUUUUAUGUGUUUAUUUAUCAAAUAAAAAAUAAAAAAAACUAUCAUGGUAAACAACUUGCCAAAGGAGAGCUGCUCUUUGAGUGUUUAGCUUAG
rnacentral:pre_miRNA from 1 species